GAGACACGAAUCCAGGCCCUACGGGGCGCAGCAGUCGCGAAAACUUCACACUGGGGGCAACCCCGAUGAGGGAAUUCCUAGUGCUAGGACAUUUGUUCUAGCUUUUCUCAAGCGUAGAUAACUUGAGGAAUAAGGGCUGGGUAAGACGGGUGCCAGCCGCCGCGGUAAUACCUGCAGCCCAAGUGGUGGUCGAUUUUAUUGAGUCUAAAACGUUCGUAGCCGGUCUGGUAAAUCCUUGGGUAAAUCGGGGAGCUCAACUUUCCGAAUUCCGAGGAGACUGCCAGACUUGGGACCGGGAGAGGCUAGAGGUACUUCUGGGGUAGGGGUAAAAUCCUGUAAUCCUAGAAGGACCACCGGUGGCGAAGGCGUCUAGCUAGAACGGAUCCGACGGUGAGGGACGAAGCCCUGGGUCGCAAACGGGAUUAGAUACCCCGGUAGUCCAGGGUGUAAACGCUGCAGACUUGGUGUUGGAGGCCCUUCGGGGGCAUUCAGUGCCGGAGAGAAGUUGUUAAGUCUGCUACUUGGGGAGUACGUCCGCAAGGAUGAAACUUAAAGGAAUUGGCGGGGGAGCACCGCAACGGGAGGAGCGUGCGGUUUAAUUGGAUUCAACACCGGAAAACUCACCAAGGGCGACCAUUACAUGAAAGCCAGGCUAAUGACCUUGCUAGAUUUUUGGAGAGGUGGUGCAUGGCCGUCGUCAGUUCGUACCGUAAGGCGUUCUCUUAAGUGAGAUAACGAACGAGACCCUCACUGAUAAUUGCUAAUCUAUUCUCCGGAGUAGAUGCACAUUAUUGGGACCGCUGACGCUAAGUCAGAGGAAGGAGAGGUCAACGGUAGGUCAGUAUGCCCCGAAUCUCUUGGGCUACACGCGCGCUACAAAGGGCGGGACAAUGGGCUCCGACGCCGAGAGGCGAAGGUAAUCUCGAAACCCGUCCAUAGUUCGGACUGAGGGUUGUAACUCACCCUCACGAAGCUGGAUUCCGUAGUAAUCGCGAAUCAACAACUCGCGGUGAAUAUGCCCCUGCUCCUUGCACACACCGCCCGUCAAACCAUCCGAGUUGGGUUUCAGUGAGGUGGCCUUUAAUUGGGGUCUUCAAACUGAGAUUUAGCAAGGAAGGUUAAGUCGUAACAAGGUAUCU
rnacentral:rRNA from 1 species